UAGGGAAUCUUCCACAAUGGGCGAAAGCCUGAUAGAGCAACGCCGCGUGUGUGAUGAAGGCUUUAGGGUCGUAAAGCACUGUUGUAUGGGAAGAAAUGCUAGAAUAGGGAAUGAUUCUAGUUCGACGGUACCAUACCAGAAAGGGACGGCUAAAUACGUGCCAG
rnacentral:rRNA from 1 species